ensembl:lncRNA
CAGCUUAGAGAGGGGCCUUUCACGCCGCAGUCCCCAGCUGCGAGAGGAAGGGCUGCGCCCGCCUCCUCACCUACCUCUCGGAACCACGCCGUCCGCCGCGCGUCCUGGUAGACUGCAGGAGCCCAGGGCUUCUGGGGACUGUGACCGGCGCCCAAGGCGGGGGAUAAGGCGGCUCCGGGUCACCGCCUCUGCCCCCCCGCUCUGUGAGGCCUCUCGAGGCAGUGUCUGUGUCUGGGGCAGCGACGCCGACGGCGUUGGGGCGCGAAGGGGCUCAUGCUCCUGCGUCCCCCUGGCGCCGCUUCUUAAGGUACAAGCUUAAAGUGUUGCUGCUAGACCUUUCUUCUCUUGUAAUUUACCAAGUGAGGAGUGUUGAAAUAUCCAACUAUAAUUUGUGGAUUUCUCCUUUCAAUACUAUCAUUUUUGGUGCUUCAUGUAUUUUUGAAGCUCUAUUUUUAGCGGAGACCUGAAAGCAGCUUAACCAUGAGCAGCACUCAACUAAGUGAAGAAAUUCUUCGCAAUAAAUAGGGAUGUUUGAAAGGUUUUACGUUGGACCCGCCUUACCGUGGACAGACACUAGAGGGUGCUCCUCGCUCAGAAAGCCGCGUAUUGCCAGGCCUGGGACCUCUGCCAGGAAGCGCUUGGACUGCCGGUCCUGAAACUUUCUCUUUGGGUCUGGUAAUUUACUGGGGAGAAGUAUCUGCUGCCUUGGUUCUGAAACUAAAGGCUUUUACGGAAGGAGGAGGAGACUGCAAGCGGCUACAUGGAGCAGAAAUGGGGCUCCUCCAAACUUUCACCAAUUGGCGUUCUGCUGGACUGUGACUUGGAGAAUACGAGCAGUGUCUCAUUCACCCAGGAGUCCCAGGGUGUAGCACACAUAGUGUCUGGCAGAUAGUAAGCGCUUUGUAAAUAUUUAUGGAAUGGGACCAACCGAUGGGGGCGUCUAAGACCUAAAUAAUUAUAAUUCCGAAUUGGGGAGUGCUGGCACGAUGAUCACAGAGCAUUAAGGGCUCUCCCAGAAGAAUGAGGGCUGGGGAUGACUGGCCAGAAUGGCUUCCUGAAAUUCAGGAGCCCUGGCACUCUCUGGAGUACACAGAAAAGAUCUUCCACAUCUGGCUUUUGGAUAUUUAAAAACAGCUUCCUGCUCCAUUUCUUUCAUGUCCUUUCUGUGGAAUGAUUUCUAGGCUUUUCACUAAGUUGAUCGCUCCCUGCAGACUUACAGGAAGGCAAAUAAUAGUUUAGCACCUACUGGGUUCAAGCAUCUCCUAUAAUCUCCAUUAUCUGAUUUAAUUGUGUCUUUAUCUCAUUUAAUCCCUACAACAACUCUCUGAGACUAAGGUUAUUAUCCGCAUUCUACAGAUUAGAACUUGGCAAGGUUUGAUAACGGGCCCAAGAUCACACCAUCAGGGAGUGACAGGACAGUAUUUGAACCCAGAUAGUCUAGUAGCAAAAGAUGCUUUUAAAAAUUUUCACUUAAAAGAAUAACAACAACAGCAACUAACAGUAUGGAGGGGGCCAGAUACUUUUCUAUGUUUUACAUUUAUUAACUCAUUUAAGUCAUUUAAUUGCUAUACACUUAGAUGUCAUCCUUUCUAUUAGUACAUUGCUAGUACUGAAAAGUGAAGAGAAUGAUAUAACAAACACCCAUGUACUCAUCACCUGGCAUGAAAAAAAGAUUAAAGUUGAUAUUAUCCAGCUGCAAAAAUCUUGAAAAAGAACAAGGUUGGAGAACUUGGCCUAGUGCAGUGGCUCAUGCCUGUAAUCCCAGCAUUUUGGGAGGCCAAGGCACGUGGAUUGCUUGAGCUCAGGAGUUCGAGACCAGUCUGGGCAAUGUGGUAAAAAAAACAAAAAAUUUCUACAAAAAAAAGUUUCUACAAAAAAAAAUACAAAAAUUAGCCUGGUGUGGUGGUGCUCGCCUGUGGUCCCAGCUACUCAGGAGGCUGAGGUGGGAGGAUCACCUGGGCCCAGGGAGGCUGAGGCUGCAGUGAGCCAAGAUAGUGCCACUGCACUCCAGCCUAGGCAAAAGAGCAAGAUCUUGUCUAAAAAAAAAAAAAAAAAAAAAAA